rnacentral:rRNA from 1 species
CCUACGGGGGGCUGCAGUGAGGAAUAUUGGUCAAUGGACGAGAGUCUGAACCAGCCAAGUAGCGUGAAGGAUGACUGCCCUAUGGGUUGUAAACUUCUUUUAUAAAGGAAUAAAACGAGGCACGUGUGCCUUUUUGCAUGUACUUUAUGAAUAAGGAUCGGCUAACUCCGUGCCAGCAGCCGCGGUAAUACGGGGGAUCCGAGCGUUAUCCGGAUUGAUUGGGUUUAAAGGGAGCGUAGAUGGGUUGUUAAGUCAGUUGUGAAAGUUUGCGGCUCAACCGUAAAAUUGCAAUUGAUACUGGCAGUCUUGAGUACAGUUGAGGUAGGCGGAAUUCGUGGUGUAGCGGUGAAAUGCUUAGAUAUCACGAAGAACCCCGAUUGCGAAGGCAGCUUACUAAACUGUGACUGACAUUGAUGCUCGAAAGUGUGGGUAUCAAACAGGAUUAGAUACCCUUGUAGUC